rnacentral:lncRNA from 1 species
AAAUGAAAUAAGCCUACAUCAUCAGAUGAUAAUGAGAAUGACGAUUGACCCAUCUACUGUUACAUUAUUACUGUUGUUACUAUUAUUAUUAUGACUUAAUUUAUUCAAACCCUAGUCCCAGUCGCAGCACCACCACCAACACCCUUAGGUCCUGCCGGAUCGACGCUGGGGCCGGCUCCGAUGCCGUAGUCAGUAUCUCGGUAGCCAGGCCCAUAUCUGCUGCUGAACAUGCUAGCAUGAAGCAGCAAGAGGUACAAAAACUGAGUGAAUGUUAGGAUUAUGAUGAAUGCCUCUACCACCCUCAGUCUCCAUCCUCUGUGUUGUCCUAAGUUUAUCUCCUUGCAAGCCAGCCUGUUUGAUUCGAUGGGGUCAGAACGAAGAAACUGGAAACUUAAGGAGGCUAAAUAAAAAAUUCUGUGAAAUAAGGGGACCAAAACAUAAACUUUUCAAGAUUUAAGUAAGAAAGUGAAAGAAUAUAUGUAUACCCGAAGGCUAAUGCAGUUAUGGCCCAAGCUAUUAAAGAAGUUGAUCCUGCUGCUGCUAGGCUAUCACUCCUCCAAGCUCUAAUGUGGUUGCCGCCGAUGAAUUUCGAAGCUACGCCGAGAACGCCGGCUAAUAGAGCGAAGGUCAGGAAGAACAUUGUUGCUCCAUUUCCUCCAAAACCUGAAAAUAAAAGCUGCAUGUAAGAUUUGGAAACUCGCUUUCUAAGUAGGUGGGCCCACCACAAAUUAAAAUUUCGGCCAUACCCUUUCAAGAAUUUCGUUUGCAGGAUUCAAAUUCCUGAGAUUCCAACUUGGGUGGCAACUUGGGUGGCCAGUAGAAAAGGGCUUGAAAAUAACCUUUAAAAAAAGAAAAACACCAAAAAACUUACUAGGAUGAUUGGUUUGGCCAUUGAUGAACCUGUUAAGACACCAGCUAGCAAACCCCACCACGAUGAGAUACAUGAUCAGGUUCAGAAACAACAAUGGAGCUGCUAUAUUUCUGCCCACAGUCUGAGCCAUCUUUCUUCUACUUCUUCUUCUUCUUCUUCUUCUUCUCUCUUCAAACCCACAAAACUAAACAACCGCAGUUCAGCGAAAAGCUAUAAGAUAACUACGAACAAUUUUGCAGCAGUGGAAACAACCUCAACUCUUCUGCUGAUCUUUAAUCAACUUCUGCUUUCUGCUUGUGCUUUUGGUAAGGCCAAAGGAUACAGACUUGUGAAGCUAUAUAGAAGUGCUAAGUGUUUUGACUUAGGAUACGUGUAAGCAAACUAGCGCUUGCAUGGUUACAGGUGGUGGGACACUUGUCAAUGAAUGCCUUCCUCUCUUUCGAAUCUCGAAGUUUGCUUCUUCUUUUUUUUUUUUUUCUUUUCUUCCUUUUUCCCCAAAUAUCAUUAUGAGAACGGUGCAGUGCUUAUAUAAAUCCAAUCCUCGCAGAGGAUAUUCUAUCAUACUUCUGAUCCUUAUCGUUUUGGUUGUUUACCCCAGUGGGCCCACUUAUGGACGGCUCUGAUUGUAAAAAGACAAUUUAUAUUGCUGAAAUGAGCAGAACUGGAGUGCAUUAAGGUAAGUCUGAUGUAAGAAUCCAUUAUGAUCAAUCUAGAUACAUAUAGGCGUGUAAAAAUGUUGAAUGCAAUCAUUACGUGCUACUCUGAAUAAUCAGCAUUCAAGUUUGUUUUAAACUCCUUCACCCUGUGUCCACGACUUCGCGGGCUCCUUUUAUGACUUCGGCUCUUCGUUUACAAUCUUCCUUCGCCACCAUAUUUUUUUUUCGGUUUGUCUGUAAAAUUGCCAGAUAGAUUAAGGGUAUUUUCUUUACAAUCUUCCAUGUUGUGCCAUUAUUAUUUCGAUUUUUUUCUAAUUGAAUUUGAGUCUUUUGUUUGGGGGGGAUUGAAUCCGCUUUUGCUAUGUUAAACAAAAAACCAACCGCAAUUUGAAGAAAAUUGAAAACACUCUCAAUCAAGCAAUCUUAUAGGACAUACCGAUUUUCACCCAUGAUUCCAAAGGCCACUGAGAGAGAAUUUGUUAAUCUUUACAGCCCAGUCACCAUGAGAGCCAAGUGCAAGAAGAAGCGCACGAGGAGAUUGAAGAGAAAGUGCCGAAAGAUGAGACAAAUAUCUAAAUAGAAUAAGAAAUUAUUAUUAUUAUUAUUUCAAUUUCUUUACUUUCUCUCUCUCCUUUGUGGAUUUUGUUGAAGUUUUGAUAACUUCGACUGGUUUAAUCUAAUGAAUAUUAUUAGUUUUAGAUCUAAAAAUAAAAUCUUAUAGGACAUACCCAAAAAAAAAUUCGAUGGCAUAGGAAGAUUGUUGUCGUAAAAUAGAGCGAAACCAGCAAGAUUGUCGCCGGCAAAAGAGAGAGAUGUUGGAGCCGUCGUCCAAGGAGCUCGCGAAGACGUGAAUGGGAGACGUAACUUGGGGUGAUUUAACUUAGUGACGUGGCUAGUACCCAUCAGCUGCCAACUCAGGUUGUACAAAAAGAUUUGUACAAUAAUUUGUGACUGUAUUAUUAUUGUUAUUUUUAACGAUAGUUUGCAAAUGAUUUUGAGAGAUGAGACAAACUGCUCAAAAUUCAAAUAGAUAUUGUUAUAAUCUAUCUUGAAUUUUUUUAAAACAAAUCUAUCUUGUUCCUCCUACAAGCUUUGCUCAAUUUCUUAUCCAGGAUAUGUAUGAGGUUGCUUAUCCUCGUCUUGUUUGUUUUAGCUUUUUGUUGUAAAGAGCCCCAUUGUACCCAAAAAAAAAAAAAAUCUAUCUUGAAUUAAAAAGAAGGGAUAUUAUCAUUUUCCUAUCAAAAGUAUUCUGACACAUCAUGUCAGUACCACAGUUUGGUAAAGCUAUCAAUUUACCACCAAACGUUUAAACUGUUAGCAUUUUCCCACUAUUCCGUUAAACUCAGUUAAUAUGUAACAGAAAAUUCAUAAAAAGUCAAUUUUACCCAUGGAGCGUAAAAGACCAUGUAAUAAACAUUUUAUAAAUUUUGUAAUUAAAUCAUCAUUUACUGUUCUUCCUUCUUAAAGGGUAAAAAUUACCCUUUAUGAAUUUUAUAAAAUUGAUCGUGUGGUGCUAGGUGCUUCAUAAAUUGAUUUUAAGACAACAUCUUCCAUCUCUACUUACACCACAAGUGGACUGGAAUAAAAAUAUAAAAAGAAGGACAAAUCAGAAAGGAAUCAAAAGUGACACAAAUGAAAUAAGCCUACAUCAUCAGAUGAUAAUGAGAAUGACGAUUGACCCAUCUACUGUUACAUUAUUACUGUUGUUACUAUUAUUAUUAUGACUUAAUUUAUUCAAACCCUAGUCCCAGUCGCAGCACCACCACCAACACCCUUAGGUCCUGCCGGAUCGACGCUGGGGCCGGCUCCGAUGCCGUAGUCAGUAUCUCGGUAGCCAGGCCCAUAUCUGCUGCUGAACAUGCUAGCAUGAAGCAGCAAGAGGUACAAAAACUGAGUGAAUGUUAGGAUUAUGAUGAAUGCCUCUACCACCCUCAGUCUCCAUCCUCUGUGUUGUCCUAAGUUUAUCUCCUUGCAAGCCAGCCUGUUUGAUUCGAUGGGGUCAGAACGAAGAAACUGGA